UACAGGGGGUGCAAACGUUGCUCGGAAUCAUUGGGCGUAAAGCGCACGUAGGCGGCUUUGUAAGUUAGAGGUGAAAGCCCGGGGCUCAACCCCGGAAUUGCCUUUAAGACUGCAUCGCUUGAAUCCGGGAGAGGUGAGUGGAAUUCCGAGUGUAGAGGUGAAAUUCGUAGAUAUUCGGAAGAACACCAGUGGCGAAGGCGGCUCACUGGACCGGUAUUGACGCUGAGGUGCGAAAGCGUGGGGAGCAAACAGG
rnacentral:rRNA from 1 species